CCUACGGGAGGCAGCAGUGGGGAAUAUUGGACAAUGGGGGCAACCCUGAUCCAGCCAUGCCGCGUGUGUGAAGAAGGCCCUCGGGUUGUAAAGCACUUUCAGUGAGGAAGAACGCCUGGUAGUUAAUACCCAUCAGGAAAGACAUCACUCACAGAAGAAGCACCGGCUAACUCCGUGCCAGCAGCCGCGGUAAUACGGAGGGGGCGAGCGUUAAUCGGAAUUACUGGGCGUAAAGCGCGCGUAGGUGGCUUGAUAAGCCGGUUGUGAAAGCCCCGGGCUCAACCUGGGAACGGCAUCCGGAACUGUCAAGCUAGAGUGCAGGAGAGGAAGGUAGAAUUCCCGGUGUAGCGGUGAAAUGCGUAGAGAUCGGGAGGAAUACCAGUGGCGAAGGCGGCCUUCUGGACUGACACUGACACUGAGGUGCGAAAGCGUGGGUAGCAAACAGGAUUAGAUACCCUUGUAGUC
rnacentral:rRNA from 1 species